CCGGGGCCCGCAGCCUCCGCCCCGCCCCGGCCCGCCCCGGCCGGCCCUCCCCGCCGCCCGCUCCCGUGCUGUUCUAGGACUCUUGUUGCCCGCCCUCGCGUCCCUUCUCCCCUCUCCACGGCUGUGUCCCCAGACCCGACAGGACACUCGGGACCAAGUGCAACCUCGGAGAAAACAGGCUGCCCGGAACCCCGGGUUCGAGCCCGAAGCUCACUGGGUGUGUGACCUUGGGCCGGUUAAUUCCGAGAAGCCCCCUGUCUAUAAAGUGAGGCCAGCAUCUUGGGGCCUGGUGUAAAAGACGGAGAACAGGCUACGGACAUUGAGCACUCCUCCCCUCCGUGCCUGCCUGGGAUCUGGUCUCAGCGUCCCAGCAGCCGCAGCAUCUCCUGAGGAUCCAGCAGCUUCUCCCUGGGCUUCCCCGCACCCUGGCCCCGGGACACCUCCUCAGCGUCCAGCUUCUCCCAGUCCGAGAAAGAAACAGGCCAGACCCCUGCGGCAGAGGGAAGACGGGUCACUGCUUUCACCUCCUCCUCUCCCCCAGCCCAGAGCAGCCCCCUUCCAGACAGUGAAGGGCCCAGGGACCCCCCCACCCCACCUCCCAGGAGCUCACACGGGGCCCAGACCUCGGCAGCCGAGCAGGGCCUUGAUGGCCGCAUAGCCAGGCCUGGGGCCAGACGGCAGCAGCCCCGCUUUCAGGUCCUGCAGCAGAAUCUGGCCGGUGACGAAGCUGUCAGUCAUGGUAGUGGUGAUGACACCUGUGGGCCCGCGCUUCACCCAGCCGCUGCAGUAGAGGCCUUGGAGAGGGGUAACAAAGGGGAGACUCACCUCCAGUCUGGUGACUGCCAGGCGGAUGCCUGCCGCUCGCCGCCCAUCUGGCGAGGGCAGCACCUGCUGAGGGCUUCGGAAGAAGCGGAGGCCCCAGGCGCGGGAGGCCGAUGCCCGGCGGGCAGCCUCUGCCACCCCUGGCUUCUCCGUGGCUGCUUGAAGCAGUAGUUCCGUCAGCCGCUUCCUCGGGCGAGGGACCUCUGUUAGCAACACAGAACAUCUCAGGGCGGCGUCCGGGUUACAGCCCUCUCCCCUAAUGCCCUCUCCCGAGCCCUCUCUGACCUAGACCAUCCCCUCCCUAGUGAGCCGGGGGGCCAGGCCAGGGCCCCUCACCCUUGAUUCUGUCCUGAAGGCCCAAGAAAUCCGCAGGAUCCAAAAUGGGCCGAGUUCCUGGUAACUGAAUCAUCUCCCGAAGUUCCUUGGCGGUGUGGGCGGGGAGUGGGGGAGGAGUCAGGCCCAGAGCACUGUCCACUCCUGAGCCCACCCCAGAGCCCAGCCCAGGUGGGAGACAUCACCAGCUCCCACCAGCACACAAGGCACUGGGCCCCAGGGGGGGCCCUGCCUGGCUCUCCCUCUUCCACCCCAGGCAGCUCUGCCCUGCCACACCCCCCAAGGAGCAGACCAUCUACUUGGGACCCUGGCCCCUCUCCCUCAGGCCCCAGCACCUUAAUGGUGAAGGCCACUUGCAGGGGUCCACGUCGGCCCACUAUCCACACCGUCUUCACCUGACUCUGUCUCAGUGCCCCCAGGGCAGCCUCCGUGAUAUCCGUUUUCUGGCACAAAAGGAGGACCUUAAAGUCGUUGGACACUGACAGCAGAAGGGGGACCUCUCCAUUGGCUGGGCGGUGAGAAGGUUGGCAGCCUGAAGUGGCACCGCUGCCCAUCCCCCCGGUGGCCGGAUGGAGCACUGCUGCCAAUUCUGCGAAUGGCUCCAAUUAGUAGCAAACCAGGCCCACGCUCUUCAUUCAACAAGUGUUUACUGAGUGUUUACCACGUGCCAGGCACUGUGCAAAGGGCAUGGAUGGGGGGGGUGUCAAUGUUGAGCAAAAGAGACGUGGUACUGGCCUUCACAGAGCUUCUGAUCUGGUGGAGAGAGAGACUUAUCGAAUAUUCAAUAAAAAGUAUAAAAUCGCAGUGGUGACAACAUGCUUUGAAACAGAAGUAGCCAAGUCUAU